UACGUAGGGACCAAGCGUUGUUCGGAUUUACUGGGCGUAAAGGGCGCGUAGGCGGCGUGGUAAGUCACUUGUGAAAUCUCCGGGCUUAACUCGGAACGGUCAAGUGAUACUGUCGGACUAGAGUACAGAAGGGCAACUGGAAUUCUCGGUGUAGCGGUGAAAUGCGUAGAUAUCGGGAGGAACACCAGUAGCGAAAGGCGGCUCGCUGGGCCACACCUGACGCUGAGACGCGGAAAGCUAG
rnacentral:rRNA from 1 species